rnacentral:rRNA from 1 species
CCUUCUGGAGUUUGGCAGAGGGGGGUGGAAUUCCACGUGUAGCAGUGAAAUGCGUAGAGAAGUGGAGGAACACCAAUGGCGAAGGCAGCCCCCUGGGUCGAUACUGACGCUCAUGCACGAAAGCGUGGGUAGCAAACAGGAUUAGAUACCCUGGUAGUCCACGCCCUAAACGAUGUCAACUAGGUGUUGGGAGGGUAAAACCUUUUAGUGCCGUAGCUAACG